UACGUAGGCAGCAAGCGUUGUUCGGAAUUACUGGGCGUAAAGAGUGUGUAGGCGGUGUUCUAAGUUUGGUGUGAAAUCUCCCGGCUCAACUGAGGAAGUGCAUCCGAAACUGGCAGGCUAGAGUACUAAAGAGGGUCGCGGAAUUCCCGGUGUAGAGGUGAAAUUCGUAGAUAUCUGGAGGAAUACCGGUGGCGAAGGCGGCAUCCUGGACCGACAUUGACGCUGAACGGCGAAAGCUAGGGGAGCAAACGGG
rnacentral:rRNA from 1 species